rnacentral:misc_RNA from 1 species
GAGCGCUUCAAAUGCAUGACAAUUACUGACAACAAAAUUCAUGUUAAUCAACCAUCACCUGCGCUGCGCAGAAACUCUGUGUUGAUGAGCCUUAAUAUCAUUUUGAAUUCUAUCAGCAUACAUUGGCAAGUGAAUGAUCUCAUCAAUCUCCUUGAACAAGACUUCCUCAUUAAUGUUAUCCCUUAUACUCCGCAUUACCUUUUUGUAGGUAUUGAACUCAUUUGGGGUUGAUUUGUCUGCCCUAAUCCGCAUAAAGACCCAUAACUGCCUCUCAGAAUCCCAAGAGCACUCUAUGAUCUUCCCUACAUACGAAGACAGAUCUGAUACAUCAUUAAAGACAAUUCUAUUUCUCUCCAUUAGCUUCUUUCUUCCACGUUCAUUCAGAAAAAGAAGUUGUUGAUUUUGAACUCCCAACUCAAAAAGAAAG